GAAGGCUGAAAUUCGCCUUCAUGAAGCCGGAAUUGCUAGUAAUGGCAGGUCAGCAUACUGCCGUGAAUACGUUCCCGGGCCUUGUACACACCGCCCGUCACACCAUGAGAGUUGGGAAUACCCGAAGCCUGUGAGCUAACGUUAAGAGGCAGCAGUCGAAGGUAGAAUCAAUGAUUGGGGUGAAGUCGUAACAAGGUAAC
rnacentral:rRNA from 1 species